CCUACGGGAGGCAGCAGUGGGGAAUAUUGGGCAAUGGGCGAAAGCCUGACCCAGCAACGCCGCGUGAAGGAAGAAGGUCUUCGGAUUGUAAACUUCUUUUAUGAGGGACGAAGGACGUGACGGUACCUCAUGAAUAGGCCACGGCUAACUACGUGCCAGCAGCCGCGGUAAU
rnacentral:rRNA from 2 species